rnacentral:rRNA from 1 species
UAAAUGGAUAGCGUUUGAGCUCCAGGCCCAUACCUGACCGUCUCAAUUUCUAUUUAACGCACUUUUUUUUCGGUAAAAGGUGUAAUGAACGUUGAGACGGGUAGGAAGGUCGCGACAGUGUUGCUUUGAAGAGUUUUGAGCGUGAGCUCGCUCGGAGCCGCUGUUGGUGCAGAUCUUGGUGGUAGUAGCAAAUAUUCAAGUGAGAACCUUGAAGGCUGAAGUGGAGCAAGGUUCCAUGUGAACAGCAGUUGGACAUGGGUCAGUCGAUCCUAAGAAAACGGCGAAAGCUUGUUCGAAUUUGCGACAUGAAUUGUAAGACUGAAUAAUUAUUUGUGUGUGUGUUGUGGUGGAGGCGAUUGUGUCGUCACCAGUUGUUGUUGUGUGCAGUUGUCGUAUGUUUUCGAAAGGGAAUCCGGUUGAUAUUCCGGAACCGAGUAACGGAGACAAAGAGUAGCGCUUUAAUCUCUCUGUGGGGUUGGCGUUCAACUCAAUCGCGCGGUAACGCAAGCGAACUCGGAAAAUGACCGUCGUGAGUUUCGAAAAGAGUUUUCUUUUCUUUUUAAGGGACGCAUUCCCUGGAACCGGGUUGUCCGGAGAUAGGGAUUCA